CAGUCGGACGGCAGCACGGACUUCGGUCUGGUGGCGAGUGGCGAACGGGUGAGUAAUGUAUCGGAACGUGCCCAGUAGCGGGGGAUAACUACGCGAAAGCGUGGCUAAUACCGCAUACGCCCUACGGGGGAAAGCGGGGGACCUUCGGGCCUCGCACUAUUGGAGCGGCCGAUAUCGGAUUAGCUAGUUGGUGGGGUAACGGCUCACCAAGGCAACGAUCCGUAGCUGGUUUGAGAGGACGACCAGCCACACUGGGACUGAGACACGGCCCAGACUCCUACGGGAGGCAGCAGUGGGGAAUUUUGGACAAUGGGGGCAACCCUGAUCCAGCCAUCCCGCGUGUGCGAUGAAGGCCUUCGGGUUGUAAAGCACUUUUGGCAGGAAAGAAACGGCGCCGGCUAAUACCUGGCGCUAAUGACGGUACCUGCAGAAUAAGCACCGGCUAACUACGUGCCAGCAGCCGCGGUAAUACGUAGGGUGCAAGCGUUAAUCGGAAUUACUGGGCGUAAAGCGUGCGCAGGCGGUUCGGAAAGAAAGAUGUGAAAUCCCAGAGCUUAACUUUGGAACUGCAUUUUUAACUACCGGGCUAGAGUGUGUCAGAGGGAGGUGGAAUUCCGCGUGUAGCAGUGAAAUGCGUAGAUAUGCGGAGGAACACCGAUGGCGAAGGCAGCCUCCUGGGAUAACACUGACGCUCAUGCACGAAAGCGUGGG
rnacentral:rRNA from 1 species